rnacentral:lncRNA from 1 species
GAGCAAAUAAAUGGGUAACUUUUCUCGAUUUCCAAUUGCUAUGCAUGUUUAGCUAAUCCUUAUCCCUUCUCACCAUUUCAAAUUUACGUGAUCCUUAUCCGUUAAUCUUAUGAACUAAUCUGGAACACAGAAAAUUGAAAUCACAUCUACAAAACCAUUCAGCCUUUUUUUUUCUUCCAAGGAGACAGUAGCAUCGAACUUCUUAAUUGCCUUCGAUGUGCAUAUAGCAACUCUUAGAAGACGGCGACUGACUCAAUGUGAAACCUAAAAUGUUAAUUUUCGAAAGGACUCCUCAGAGAUAGAGGCAGGAAUUUCUCGAUGACCGUACACGUCAGGAGUCCAUCCAGGAAAGUGUGGUACAUCCUCUUUCCGUCUUCCUAUUUGCAGAAGUCCCAAGUACUCUGAAUGAGCCUCACGAAGCCCAGACUGUGCGGGUUGGUUCAUGCUAACCACCAGACUGACGGAACCACAUACACAAGAAGGCACCCUUGGCUUCGUCUUCACCUCUCCGAGCCACUGCAUUUCCGCCAGUGGACAGCAUCAUGCGGAACAAAGCCCAUUCACUAUCAUUAGUUCUUAAUCGUUCGUUGACUGCCUCGAGCCAGCAAGAUAUCUCUCCCGAACAAGGUAAGAGGAAGCUAGGUAGAUGAAGUUUGUAUGAUCUAUCAACGAUCAGCACCAGUUACUAUCAUGACAUUGGCAGUCCCAUAUAUUUAGUCCCUAGAAUAUUGCAUAAGCUCAAACCACUGCACGUAAAAUACAGGAAAAAUUGGUUAGACUCGGAUCAUAAUAUAUAGUGCUACAGUAGUAUUCCAUACCUUUUAGGCCUGAGAGAGAGAGAGAGAAAGAGAGAGAGAGAGAGAGAGAGGGGAGGGGGGGAACAGAACCAUCUCACACAACUUAGAAAUAUACUCUCUAUUUAAAACGUUACUAUGAAGCUUUGGUCUGACUAUGUUCAAUUUUUUUGGUUUUGUCAUGUCUACCUAGUAAUUGCUAAGCAUCAGCUGUGUUGCAUAGAAACACGGUGGAGUCAAUAAUCAUCUAGUUCAUAUUUUCUCUCAUGCAGAAAUGGAGAUAUUCUAUGGAAUCAACAAACUCAAUAAGAUAAAUACAAAAUUCUGAUUUUAGGUCCAUGUAAACUUUCUUGCUUUCCAGUUUUACCUACUACAAACAAAUUAAUAGUUUUGGCAUUUUAUCAAACACUUGAUUUCAUAUAAAUAUCAUUGCAUUAUUACAGAAAUUUAGAAUUAAAAAAUUCUCAAAUGACAUCUAUAAAAUACUCAAAUGACUACAAAUUCUAGUAACAUUAUAUCAACUUUCAUGUUUCAAAGGUUUAGGAAACAUGCCACAACCUAAUCUUUUGAAGGCCAACUAAUCCAUGAUAACCAAUAUCAAAACUUACACCUAAUAGGUUAUAAUCAUAAAUAAAUCAACAAUUCAAGGGAAAAUAAAAAAAAUUUUACAAAAGGACAGAGCAAAAAACCUGUAAUGUGACAAAAUCAAGGAUAACCUCUUCUGCAAGGGAAAAAAAUGCAAGAUGAUGUUUGGGUACAAAUAGCAAUGAAAUAGAUACAGUCAAAUAUUCAUUUACUAUAACCUACCCAAAAAAUAUAUAUAUAUAUUCGC